rnacentral:lncRNA from 1 species
GACGCAGUGCAAGGCUUUGUCCCGGAGCUGAGGCAGCAGCUCACCCAGCUGCAGCAGCACAGGGAGGAGCAGGAGGCCGUGAUCAAGCAGCUGCAAGAGGAGAACAGGGCGCUCCGGGAGGAGGUGGCACAGCAGAAGGAGCAGUUGGAGGAGAUGCAGAGGGACGGGAAGAGCUUCCAGGAGCGGAUCCGGCAGCAGAUCGGUGGACUGUCGGAACGGAUCUGGAACAUACGGAGCCGCGAUUCCGACGGGAGCACAACAGUGUCCUCCAGCGUGGCCGUGCCCCUGGGCAUCCUCCUGGUGCUGCUCGUUCUGAAGUGCCUGCGCUGAGCAAGAUGGCACGGACCUGGGUGGCCCCUGUUGGCGUGGGGAAACCGUGGGGAGAUGGUUUGCCGAGUGCUGGCCCGAGGGGUGAGAUGGGGACGAGGCACGAGGCAGGGGGACAGCGGUGCCAUGCGGUUGGUUGGGUCUGAACCAAUUUCCAAUAAAACUUCAUGAAAACCCCAAGCGUUCUGCUGCUCUGGCGCCUGUCGGGAUGGCACGGCCCCGCAGCACAGCGUGGCUUCGUCCAGGGGCCGAGCGUCCUCCCACGCACGGCACAAACCACACCGCGAUGGGCUGUGACCGGCGAGAAACCACCGCCCGGAGCAACCGGGCACGUUGCGCGGCACCGUCCCCUUGUCCCCAGCAUGGACCCCGCGGUGCCCAGAGCCACGCUGAAGGCGCUGGGGCUGUGCACGCUGCUGGUGCUGCUGGUGGCCGCGGUGACGGCGGCGGUGGCGGUGCUGCUGUGGCGUUCGGAGGCGCUGGGGAAGCUGCGGGGCUGCAGGGAGCGGGCGGCCAACGAGAGCCGUGCCCUGGAGCUGCGCCUGGCGCAGCUGGAACGGGAGCGCGACCGCCUGCAGCGAGCGGCCCAGGAGAGAGAGCGGGAGGAGGAUGCGCUGCGCAGGGAGCUCGGCCGAGCGCGUGAGGAUGGGGAGAAGCUCAGCUCCAGCCUGCGCUCCUGCCGGGAGCAGGCGGCCAGGCUGGAGGCCAACGUCACAGCGCUGCGGGAUGAGGUGCGGGGGCUGCGGCGCGAGCGGGCUGAGCUGUCCCGCAGGAACGCAGCCCUGCAAGGUGCGUCCGUCCCCACGACCCCAGCCCCACGGGGACCCUCACCCAACCUCAACGCGCUCAGCUCGGGGUGUCCCUUCGCCCCACAGAGGAGCUGGCGCAGGGCGCGGAGCGGGCGCUGGGGCUGCAGCAGAGGCUGGAGGAGGCGGCGGAGCAGCGGAGAGCGCUGCGGGCACGCGGGGAGCGGUGCGAGGAGCGGCAGCGAGAGCUCGAGGCCACGCUGUGAGGGUCCCGUCCCCUGAGCACCCUCCAUCCCCACCCCGUCCCCACCCAUAUCCCUGACCCUGUGCUGCUUUGCCUGCAGGAGGGACCGUGCGGCCGAGCUGGACGCGCUGCGGCGACGGCUGGGACCCCGCACGGCACGGCGCAGGUGCCCCCCUCCCCGGUACAUUGCGUGGGUGCUGUGCUGCGUGCCCACCCUGUUCCUUUGGGGGUGGGCGCCCUGGGGAGGGGGCUCCUCCGGCACAGCACAGUCCCGUCCUUUGUCACUGUGUCCCUAUGCUGCAGGGGCUCACUCUGUGCUGUCUGUCUCGCUCCAAUUUAUAGGAGGAAGAGGAGGCUCUUUUAAUAUAUGUAUACCCGACGGUGAGAUUAAGACACAGCGGGUCCAGUGUUAGGCCGAGCAGCUUAUUACAAAUCCUACCUGCAUAGGGAGAUGGGGAAGGGAAGGCGGGCGAUAGAAAAGGGGUAGGAAAAAGCCAGGAGUCCUUGGAGAAAGCAAGAGAGAAUAGUCACCACCGUGGGUCCAGCGCUGUUCGUAGUGCCUGCGUCCAUCUCAGGAACUCGUGCGAUCGCUGCAGGGGGUGGGAGAAAGCCAGGAAGCUUCGCAGCAAGCGGAGCCCGGGGGCUUCUUUCCACCCUCAAAGGUUUCUUAUCCCCCGGGAUAAUUCACAUUUGUCAGUCAGAGUCUUAUUACCAAAAAGGCCUCAUGAAGCGAGCUCGGAGGCAGAAGAAAAAACAGUUCCUGUCUUCCACACUGUCCCCUCCUUCUUGCAGGAAGAGCUGAAGCCCUGCAGCAUCCUCCCGCUCGGCCCCGCUUUGCCAGCACAGACACCGCGCGCAGGACGGCACCAACCCCACGGCACCAGGAGCUGGAGCUGCUGCCCAUUGCUCCCAGUCCCCCUGGCACUGGGACCAGCAGGGGCUCAGCCCCUCUGCACUCAGCACCACGGAGC